rnacentral:rRNA from 1 species
GAUGAACGCUGGCGGCGUGCCUAAUACUUGCAAGUCAAGCGAACAGACGAGGAGUUUGCUCCUCUAACGUUAGCGGCGGACGGGUGAGUAACCCUUGAAUACCCUACCUAUAAGCCUGGGAUAACUUCGGGAAACCGGAGCUAAUACCGGAUAAUAUAUUGAACCGCAUGGUUCAAUAGUGAAAGACGGUUUUGCUGUCACUUAUAAAUGGAUCCGCGCCGCAUUAGCUAGUUGGUAAGGUAACGGCUUACCAAGGCAACGAUGCGUAGCCGACCUGAGAGGGUGAUCGGCCACACUGGAACUGAGACACGGUCCAGACUCCUACGGGAGGCAGCAGUAGGGAAUCUUCCGCAAUGGGCGAAAGCCUGACGGAGCAACGCCGCGUGAGUGAUGAAGGUCUUCGGAUCGUAAAACUCUGUUAUUAGGGAAGAACAAAUGUGUAAGUAACUAUGCACGUCUUGACGGUACCUAAUCAGAAAGCCACGGCUAACUACGUG